CCCGAUGUCUCGGUUGCGUAGAUCUAGGUCAUUCAAAGUGGUCAGCAACGAAAUAGUGAAUUUCACAAAGACUACAUGUUACUUUUCUAAUUCUCCAUGAAGUCUAAAUUGAGGACUCAGGACAAUGGAAUAUUCCAUGUAGGCCUAUGGUAUAAAAUCUAGAGUAUUGUUAUGACGUUCUCCCAAGAAAAGAGAAUGUCGAGUGUACAAUUGAAGAUAGAGCUUUACCAAGGGGAUAUAACUGACUUGAAUGCAGACGCGUUGGUCAGUUCAGUUCAUCGUAGUAAGACAUUGUCCAGAGGACCACUUUCAAGACACAUCAGCCGAAAGGCCGGUCCAACAUUACAGAAUCAGUUAAACGAGGUA
rnacentral:sRNA from 1 species